UACGGAGGGGGCUAGCGUUGUUCGGAAUUACUGGGCGUAAAGGGCUCGUAGGUGGCCAACUAAGUCAGACGUGAAAUCCCUCGGCUUAACCGGGGAACUGCGUCUGAUACUGGAUGGCUUGAGUUCGGGAGAGGGAUGCGGAAUUCCAGGUGUAGCGGUGAAAUGCGUAGAUAUCCGGAGGAACACCGGUGGCGAAGGCGGCAUCCUGGACCGGUAUUGACGCUGAGGCGCGAAAGCUAGGGGAGCAAACGGG
rnacentral:rRNA from 1 species